GAUGAACGCUGGCGGCGUGCCUAAUACAUGCCAGUCGAGCGAACAGACGAGGAGCUUGCUCCUCUGACGUUAGCGGCGGACGGGUGAGUAACACGUGGAUAACCUACCUAUAAGACUGGGAUAACUUCGGGAAACCGGAGCUAAUACCGGAUAAUAUAUUGAACCGCAUGGUUCAAUAGUGAAAGACGGUUUUGCUGUCACUUAUAGAUGGAUCCGCGCCGCAUUAGCUAGUUGGUAAGGUAACGGCUUACCAAGGCAACGAUGCGUAGCCGACCUGAGAGGGUGAUCGGCCACACUGGAACUGAGACACGGUCCAGACUCCUACGGGAGGCAGCAGUAGGGAAACUUCCGCAAUGGGCGAAAGCCUGACGGAGCAACGCCGCGUGAGUGAUGAAGGUCUUCGGAUCGUAAAACUCUGUUAUUAGGGAAGAACAAAUGUGUAAGUAACUAUGCACGUCUUGACGGUACCUAAUCAGAAAGCCACGGCUAACUACGUG
rnacentral:rRNA from 1 species